ACUGUAGGCUGCAACUCGCCUACACGAAGCUGGAAUCGCUAGUAAUCGCGGAUCAGCACGCCGCGGUGAAUACGUUCCCGGGCCUUGUACACACCGCCCGCCACACCAUGAGAGUCUGUAACACCCAAAGCCGGUGGGAUAACCUUUAUAGGAGUCAGCCGUCUAAGGUAGGACAGAUGAUUAGGGUGAAGUCGUAACAAGGUAGC
rnacentral:rRNA from 1 species